UUCGCUCUUUGAGGGAUGCCGGCUGAGCUGAAGAAGAUUUGCCGCACCCAUGCUGCCCUCAAGUUCCUCUUUAUUUAUAGUACUAUUCCAGAGCUCAGUGUGCAGCCCACUGUAUCAAGUCCUAGACCAGCCAACGAAAGCUGCGUUGAACCUAUCCUGCAGCAGAAACACUGGUGAAGAAGCCUGGAGAAACAGAGGCCUGCAGUACCCAGUAACUAACCAGGCUGCACGAAUGGAGCAUGAGAACACCCUACAGCCUGUUAUUUGCUGCAUGUUUCUACGGGCACCAGCAAAGCACAACUUCUAGUAAUGGGAUCAGUAACCCAAGUGACGGAACUGAAAAGGCAAGUCUGAAUUUAUCUCCAUCUGUCAUGUUCCAGUGAACAAUGAAAGCACAGUAAAGGGAAACGCUGCUUCUUGCAUGUUUGUGCCAGUCCUUCCCUGCUAGGUACUAUUAUUAGCAGCAUUAAUAAAUGCCUCUGACUUGCAGUAAAGGUUCAGAAUGCUGGAGAGUUACAGGGCAUGCCAAACACAUAAACUGCCUGCCCUCAGGGCUGAUGGGCACGAAGGCUAUAAGAUGAAGCCCAAAUGGCAGAAACAUUCUGACCAGGGAGGAGUGAUUGCAGGUGAGGUAGGGAGAUUUUUUUUCCAGGGCUGUGCUGGAAAUGAAAGAGACAAGCCUUCGCGCCCACUAUUUGGCUGCUCAUCCUAUUCUAUUCUUGGGAAAUCAUUGGAGAGAUGAGAGAAGACAAGUGACAGUCCACUUUGAAUGUCACCUCUACCAUCCUGGAGCCUUGGGAGAAAGCUAAAGAUGUGUCCAGCCUUAUGGCUAAAUAAGGUUAAGCUGGGACAGAGACUGCUCAUUGUUCUCCAGAGGCUAUACUCUAACUUUUAGAAACACAGCUCUGAGUUAGCAGGGAACUCUUAAGACAUGGGACUCCCCAGGGGUGAGCUAGAGACACCCACCCGGGACUCUGUGGCCGUAGGUGUGGUCACAGGAUUGGGCUCUGGCCAACGGGUUGAGCACAGAAUCGAUGAGCACAACUUCCAAAUCACAGUGUUUUUGGUGGUGGUGGUUGUUGUUGUUGUUGUUUUAAUACAGAAACACCAAGCCUUCCAUUCUUACUUUUCCCCUCCCACUGGCUGGAAAAUUGGAAGAACUGAAGGAGCCACCUCAGGCCCAGGAAAAAAAACCACAUUCUGAAAGUUGCACGUCUAUCCAGCCAGCAACCAACCACACCAGCUCUAAACCUCUCACCUUCCUCUGCUCCAUUGCAUGGAAUAAAAGCAAACUUCUCUCCUACUUAAGGCACUCUGUUUUGGAGUCCCUUUCUUAUAGAAGCUUAUCUGAUACCACAUUCACAGAUGUGGCUUUGAACUUGAGUAAGAGAGAAGUGUCCUGUGUUUGUAAAAGGUUAAAAGUUUAUCCACAUUGCCUUCCUCUUGUUCCUCUCUCCGUCCCUCACCUGCUGGGCUCUAGCUGGACCGGCCACUUUUCUGUUCUUGAACUCCUUCACUUCUUCCCCACCUCAGAGUCCUUUGCCAGGAACUCUCUGUCUUGUCACUCUUCCCUUGGUUGACUCCUCACCCUCAGUUUACAAGUCACAUUCUCAGAGAGACUUUCUUUGACCACCCUAUAUAUAUUCAUUUUCUAUGGUACAUAACCAGUGACUGUAAACUUAGCAGCCGAAACACCACAAGUUUUUUUUUUUUUUUUUGAGACAGAGUCUCACCUUGUCGCCCAGGCUGGAGUGCAAUGGCACAAUCUCGGCUCACUGCAACCUCUGCCUCCUGGGUUCAAGUGAUUCUCCUGCCUCAACCUCCCAAGUAACUGGGAUUACAGGCGCACACCACCACACCUGGCUAAUUUUUGUGUACCUUUAGUAGA
rnacentral:lncRNA from 1 species